rnacentral:lncRNA from 1 species
AGAUGUGACAACAGUCACCAAGUAGAGAGCCCAAGAACCAGUUUUAACACUGAUGAAGACCAAGUGGACUUACCUUAAUUGAGAACAAAAGGGGUUGACAAUUCCCUCCUUCCCAAUGUCAAUCUGAGAACAGCCCAUUGGAGAGAAAAGUGUUUGCAGAGCACACACAGCCCAUAUAGUGCCUCUCUCAUGGCCUGAGUGGAGGCCGAACCACUAAAGACAUCUUCUUGGUAGAUUGGGUUCAUGCAAUUGAGAAACAUGACUCAAUGGAAGUCUCAAACUAUUCAAGAAACUGAAGUAACUAAAGACAGAGAAAUAAAAGGUCACAGGCAGGUCACAGGCAUCUGUGCUAUCAAUUCAGCGCUUCACUUUCCUAAUGGAAUCAAGCUCCCAGAACAGGAAAGUGGCCCAAGGGACAUCAUGCAGCCUCUAAUACCAUCAUGAAGCCUGUUGACCUUCAGACAACUCAUCUACCCAGAACCUGAAACCUUUUGCUUAAACGCAGGAUCUUGUUUGUAGACUCAAACGGCAAGACUCCAAAUCUGGCAAACAGAAACAAAAGGGGCUCUGACAGGAGUGGCUCACAAGUCAAAACACACUAAUGAUUCCUCUGCAUCAUCAUAGAAAUUCUGUUUUGGUGAAAGUUUUCUGAGUGUUUGGUUUCUUUUCAAAUUAGACACAUCUUUUUAAUUUUUCAAAAAAAAUUUAAGAGAAGUGUUGGUUCCUAUUCCAGGAAUUAGUUUGUCUAGCAUGUGAUGCACGCUAGAUCUGACUUUGAAGGUAAUGGUUCUCAUAAAGAAAGUACUCAUAAAUGGUUCUCAUCAAGAAAACAAGAAUAUGUAAAAUAUGGUUGAGUAUUUUGUGUAAAUGGUAGGCAUUAUAAAGAUCAUACUUUUCUAAUCCUAGGCCACUUCUCAAAAAGUGAAUUACUGGGCAUCAUAGUUAAUCAUUCUCUCUUUUUACCACAAAUGCUACUCUCUCUAUGCACCAGUGAACUGGAAACACAACAAAAAUAAACAGAAUAUUUUGAAAACA